rnacentral:rRNA from 1 species
GACGAACCAUGCAAACGUUAUUCGGAAUUACUGGGCUUAAAGCGUGUGUAGGUGGAUGCCUAAGUACCUUGUGAAAUCCCACGGCUUAACCGUGGAACUGCUUGGUAUACUGGGUGUCUUGAGCCAGCUAGGGGCGAGCGGAACAGACGGUGGAGCGGUGAAAUGCGUAGAUAUCGUCUGGAACGCCGAAGGUGAAAACAGCUCGCUGGGGCUGCGCUGACGCUGAGACACGAAAGCCAGGGGAGCGAACGGG